ensembl:lncRNA
AAUUAAAAUAGCAUGACUUAUAACUGCCUGCAUGCAGCAUGGCUCUUUAAAGCACAUGUUUUAAGACCUUUUCCAAGAAAAAGGGGUGCAUGUGUGCAAGGUUCGAUAAGAAGGGUGGAGGUGUGCUGGUAUUUUGGCACCCCAAACCCCCCUCCUUUCUAAUCUAUAGAAUGCAUACUGACCAAACCCUUGAACUACAUGUUAGCCCAUGUGGCGUUCCCUUAAGGCUAGAGGGUAUAAAAAGCUCUCUCUGUUUUUGGGGGAUAUCCCUCGUGUCUGACGGGAUCAGAGGCCACAAUACACAGAGCUUGCUCUCUCUUGAAACUGUGAAUGGUCAAAGCUGAUGCUUGCUGUUAUAAGAUUUCUUAUAUCUGCCUCACAGAAGAUAUGGCUAAGGUAAGACUCUUUCAAUAAUUACUAUGUCAAAUGAAAUAUUUUAAAACAAUAAGGUAUGUUGAACAGCAAAUAUUUAUAUGCUCUUUUUCUUUCUAGAAUUUCAUCACCAAAGCCCAGGUUCAUUACAAAGGUGAGAAAAUGUCUGUUUUAAAGUUGUUGUUCUGUUACAUUAAGUAGCAUAAGACAGAUCCGUGUUUUAAAAUUGUAAUUUAUUUUACUGAUAGUUACAGAAAUGGUUUUUAGGUAUUACAAGCAACGUAGCCAAAAAAUAAGACCAUUUUGAUUGCAGGUUAGAAUCUUGUCUUAGAAAACGGUUUAAACCUCUUUCCUGUAGGAGAGAGAGAGGGAGAGAGAGAGAGAGAGAGAAAGAGAGGGAAAGAGAGAGAGUCACAUUUAAUGUGUUGUAUGUCUUUACAGAAGAUAAAAACAGUACUGAUGUUGUUAAAUGGAGGUAAAAAUCUCUUACUUAAAGAAUCUAGCCUUUAGCCAAGGUGCAGCCCAGCUGUAAUAAGCGUGUUCUUCUUUGACAAUGUGAAUGACCACAGACAUGUCCCCACCCCACCGUUCUGAAGAAGCCACUUUGACUGGUUCCUCAUAACAUAGUUUGACAAUGUGAAUGACCACAGACAUGUCUCAACAUGUCCCCCUUCUCUUGCAGGGGAUCAGCGCAAAGAAAACAGAAUUCAUGAACCUACUUUAUCUUCAGAUUCCUUGGGUGAGUGUUGUCAUAAUAUAGGGGACUUAAGACCGGUGUUUCAGCUUUUUAAAUAUCAUAUUUAACAUAGAAAUAUCUUUUUUCAGAAAAGUAUUUUCAGGAUGAUGAUUUUGAACCAGUAAAGACAUCUUCUCCUCUAGUGGCCAGGAAUCAGAAACGUGUCUUUGCCUUUAAAAGAAAGAACAAUGAGAAUGGUGAGUUCUGAGGUAUUUUCAUACAUGUGUUUUUGCUUGGCCUUUGUUUUAACAGGUUAUGGGGACCGUUCCUUUGCCUUAUAUUAAAGUAAUUUACACUUUUUUCAAAUCCAUUUAAACUGUGUGUGUGUGUGUGUGUGUGUGUGUGUGUGUGUGUGUGUGUGUGUGUGUGUGUGUGUGUGUGUGUGCGAGAGAGAGAGAGAGAGAGAGAGAGAGAGGGAAAGGGAGAGGGAUGUCCCUUUUCACAUUUAUUGUUUAUUCCUUUCUAGAUCAACCUAUGCCGAGUACAUCCAAAGGUUUCAAGGUUGCUGCAGGAUCAAAUAACAACCCCAGCAACUUCACAAAAAAGCAACCAUUGAAGCGCUCCAAGGCUGACGAGGGGCCAGGAAUUAAUCCACAGAGCCAUCUACCAUUGAAGAAGAUCAAGCUUGCUGAAGAGACAGGUAGCAAAAAUUCAGUGAAAGCCCAUGCUGUGAAGGAAGAGUUACCUGAAAUUGAUGAAAAUGCAUGCCCUAUUUUAAAUACUUCAACAAUUGUUGAUUGGUUUAAGAAAAUCGAAAUGCUUGUGAAUAUGAUAAUGAUUUCUAAAUAUUGGGAAAAGCGGUUGAUUCGUAUUAUGGGUGUUUUGCCUGACCUGGAAUCAAUACGUGAAGUGAUUAAAAAAAUGGAUCAUUUUUCAUGUCUAAAGUCAUCUCAAAUUCAAACAGGUUUGGGUUAUCCUGAUGAAAAACAGAGGCCCAAAAGAGAUAAAAUGAAAAGGGGUAAAAAAACUAUCACAGGAAAGAUUUACUGGCGCAAAAGAGCUGCUAAAUUGUUACAAAGGGCUAAAAUAAUGCUUGCACGUAGGAGAAGGAACACUGUCUCACUGCCUUCUAACACACAAGACUCAGAUCCUGUGCAGGCUCCUGAGAGCUCUGAGGAUGAUAGGUCUUGUAGUUCUACACAGCAGACACAAGACUCAGAAUCUGUGCAGGCUCCUGAGAGCUCUGAGGAUGCUAGGUCUUGUAGUUCUACACAGCAGACACAAGGCUCAGAUCCUGUGCAGGCUCCUGAGAGCUCUGAGGAUGCUAGGUCUUGUAGUUCUACACAGCAGACACAAGACUCAGAAUCUGUGCAGGCUCCUGAGAGCUCUGAGGAUGCUAGGUCUUGUAGUUCUACACAGCAGACACAAGGCUCAGAAUCUGUGCAGGCUCCUGAGAGCUCUGAGGAUGCUAGGUCUUGUAGUUCUACACAGCAGACACAAGGCUCAGAAUCUGUGCAGGCUCCUGAGAACUCUGCAACCCCUGAUGCGGCAACUCCCCCAGUGUAUGCAGAAGUCAUAAACAGAUGGGAGUGGGUAAAUGAAAGAUACAGAACAAGAAAUAUAGGGCAAGAAUUUCGUUUCGUAAAUUUAGAGAAUAUAAAUUCAUACUCUGAAGCUGUUCGAGCGAUCCAUGAAGCUGUUCAACAAGUUCUUGACAAUGUUAAUGAAAGUCUAGAGGCUGGGGAUUGUGUACAGAUGAGAUUUGAGGGUGGAAAUAUGAGGGAUCCUCUGUAUUCAGUGAAAAAGGUUAAAGGCGCUUUAGAUGCUGAUGAAUUUCUCUCUAAUCUAACGAAUCUCUUACAAAGCAACAUUGAAUUAUGUCUUGAAGGAACUUUGCGCUUAGUUGUAACCAUUGUGAAACCUCCCAGGGGUGGUGGGGGCCCUUCAAGAGCCUUGCGCUCUAUCCCCCAUAGUGAAAUUAUAAACAAGAAAAGGAAAUAUCUAAUAGAUUUCAGGGACGUAAGCAGUAAACUCUGUUUUGGGGCAAGUCUCGCUGCUGUUAUGGCUAAAGAGGUACCAGCAGAUGCGGAUUUGACAAAAGCAGCCCUGAAAAUGUAUCAAGCUGUACACUGGCCUAUAGACAAAGAGGUGUCACUGGCUGACAUACCUCUCUUUGAAAAACAUUUACAUGUCAAUAUCAAUAUUGCCCGAUAUGGCGAUAAAGGAUGGGCCUUAUUUAAAUCACAAGCUCAACGGUAUCCACAAACCUACACGCUGCUUCUCCAUGAUGAUCAUUUUUAUGGUGUUCUGAAUGUCAAAGCUUUUUUUGGAUCUCGAAACUAUUGUGUGUUUUGCCACAGUUUAUACAGGCACUACCAUGACUGUCUGUUCUACUGCAGACUCUGUCUAAGAAAGGACUGUGAUGCUAAAGUAGAUAAAAUGGAAAGGUGUAAACAUUGCCAAAUGAACUGUAGGUCAAUAGAAUGUUUUAAAUUACAUACCAAGCUGGCUGCAGAGAAGAAGGUCCCCUGUAUAUUCCUGAAAUUUUGUGACAAAUGCAACCGCUUUCAAAAGGCUGAGCAUUUCACUAAGCGUUGUAAGGGACGGAUCUGUCGUGUCUGUCGGGGUCGUAUGAAGCAAGGUGAGAAACAUCUUUGUUUCAUGCAACCACUCGUAGAACCAGAGAUCUCAACCCAUUAUAUAUUUUAUGACAUAGAAGCCAAACAAGAAACAGGGAUACAUGUCCCCAAUUAUUGUUUUGCAAAAGCUUUUGAGGGAGAGACUGUAGAGGAAUUUAAAAAAGAUGCUUCUGUAGAAAUUAGGCUUGCAUGGCAGCAGGCUGCUGGGCCCCUGAAUUCUAAUGAGAAGAAGGGAGAAGCUAAGGCUGAUGGUUCAGAGUUUGUGUGUGAUGGAAAGGAAGUCUCUGGGGACCACAAGAAAAAGCCUGUGAAACAAAAGUCUUGGCCUUAUGGGAAAACUUGGGAAUUUAAGGGAGAGUCUUGCAUAGAGGAAUUCAUUCGAACUUUCACAAAAGGGAGACUUUUUGUGGGAACUACGUUUAUAGCCCAUAAUUCAAAAGCCUAUGAUGGGUACUUCAUCCUCAGGCAAUUGGUCAAAGAAAAACUGGAGGUAGACAUUAUUGCUCAAGGUGGCAAACUUCUAUCAAUAACAGUCAAAGCUCUAUCCAUAAAAUUUCUGGAUUCCCUAAGUCAUCUCCCCAUGGCCCUAGCGAAGCUGCCCAAAUGUCUAGGGCUCGAACUGGAGUCUAAGGGUUACUUUCCACAUUAUUUCAACACCACUGAAAAUGAUCAGUACGAGGGUCCCAUGCCACCACCAGAGGCUUAUGGGGUUCAGCACAUGAUGCCUUCUGAGCAGAAGGCUUUCUUACAAUGGUAUGCUGAGAAUAAAACAAAAACCUUUAACCUGCAGCAAGAAUUGGCCGCCUAUUGCCAACAGGAUGUUAAUAUCCUGGUAAAGGCCUGUACAAAGUAUCGCCAUGAAAUUAUGGACCUGACAAAGACUGAGAAAAUAAGAGAUGAUGGUAAUGAUGAUCUUUAUGUUGAAACUGAGUGGUUUGCCAUAGACCCUCUUCAGUCUCCCACUCUGGCUAGCGUGUGUCUUAACAUGUACAAGUUCAAUUUUCUGGAGAAAAAUAAAAUAGCUAUUCCCCAGCCAGACAACUAUCAUAAUCAGUGUAAAAGAUAUUCAUCCCCAUCGAUCCAGUGGUUGUCUUAUACUGCACAUAAAGAAGAAACCAGGAUUCAGCACGCCUUGAAUGGUGGGGAAUUUUUUAUCGACCCUUUUUAUGUAGAUGGAUACAUGGUUGCUAAUGGCCGUGGCAUAUGUUUAGAGUUCCUGGGAUGUUUUUUCCAUGGUUGUGUCCUCUGUUAUCAUUCUGAGGACUGGAAUCCCCUGUUAGGAAAAACCUAUGGGGCUCUUUACAAUGCUACACAAGAAAGGUUGGCUGUCCUGAAAAGCAGGGGCUUUGAAGUGAGAUCAAUUUGGGAACAUGAAUGGCAAGAAAUGGUAAGAAACGACAACGCUGUCAAGCAUUACCUUGCUACAGCUGAUUUUCCAGAGCCCCUAGAGCCUAGGGAUGCCCUCUUUGGGGGUCGUACAAACGCUAUCUGCUUGUACUACAAACCUAAGACUGGAGAGCAAAUUCACUACUAUGAUUUUACCAGCCUUUACCCCUAUGUCAACAAAACUAAAGAGUAUCCUCUGGGACACCCUAAAAUAAUUUAUGAGAACUUUAAACCGGUGUCUGCAUACUUUGGUAUCGUAAAGGUUAAAGUCUAUCCCCCAAGAGGCUUGUUUUUUCCAGUGCUGCCUACCCGGAUUGGUGGAAAGCUUAUGUUUGCUCUGUGUGCCACAUGUGCAAAAGGUCAUCAACAAGACCCGUGUCAGCACACUGAUGAUGAGAGAGCCUUGAUGGGUACUUGGUGUACUAUCGAACUGAAUGCAGCCAUAGAAAAGGGUUACAAGAUUGUGAAAAUCUUUGAGGUGUGGCAUUUUGAAGACAGAUCAGAAGACCUGUUUACAAAAUACAUGGAGCUACACCUUCGCCACAAACAGGAAGCCUCAGGUUUCCCUGAUUGGUGUGUCAGUGAAGCAGAUAAAAAGAAAUAUAUCGAUGAUUAUGAAGAGAAAGAGGGGGUAUCCCUACGUAAAGAUAAAAUUGUUGUCAAUCCAACAAAAAGGCAGAUUGCCAAACUGUUUUUAAACUCUCUGUGGGGAAAAUUUGGUCAGAGAACGAACCUGACUAACACUCAGGUUGUCAGAGACCCGGAUGAAUAUUUCAAUCUCCUCUUUUCAGAGGCUUACACGGUGUCAAUGUUUGAAUUUUUGGCUGAGGAUGCAGUCUCUGUGUCAUGGAAACAUGCUAAUGAUAGAAUA